CAGUCGCCGCGGGAAUACGAAGGGGGCUAGCGUUGCUCGGAAUGACUGGGCGUAAAGGGCGCGUAGGCGGUUUUGACAGUCAGAUGUGAAAUUCCUGGGCUUAACCUGGGAACUGCGCUUGUGACUGCACAGCUAGAGUAUGGCAGAGGGGGGUGGAAUUCCACGUGUAGCAGUGAAAUGCGUAGAGAUGUGGAGGAACACCGAUGGCGAAGGCAGCCCCCUGGGCCAAUACUGACGCUCAUGCACGAAAGCGUGGGGAGCAACCAGGAUUAGAUACCCGUGUAGUCCCUGUCUCUUAUAC
rnacentral:rRNA from 1 species